rnacentral:rRNA from 1 species
CGAAGGAUCCAAGCGUUGUCCGGAUUUACUGGGUUUAAAGGGUGCGUAGGCGGACUAUUAAGUCAGUGGUGAAAGCUUGCAGCUUAACUGUAAAAUUGCCAUUGAAACUGAUAGUCUCGAAUAUAGUUGAGGUAGUUGGAAUGUAUCAUGUAGCGGUGAAAUGCUUAGAUAUGAUACAGAACACCGAUUGCGAAGGCAGAUUACUAAACUAUUAUUGACGCUGAGGCACGAAAGCGUGGGGAUCAAACAGGAUUAGAUACCCUGGUAGUCCACGCCCUAAACGUUGCAUACUCGGUUUUAGCGAUAUACCGUUAGGACCCAAGCGAAAGCGUUAAGUAUGCCACCUGGGAAGUACGUCCGCAAGGAUG